rnacentral:lncRNA from 1 species
GGUAGCACCGCCAGAGCUCAAGUUUCGAGCUCUGCCAAGCGGUGCAACCUCUCCAGUCAGGCGGUGCAACCGCCUGAGCUCGGUCUUCGAGCUCUUGCAGAGAGGUGCAACCGCCCUUGACAGAGGUGGCACCGCCCAGAGGCUCAGUCUUCGAGCUCUGCCAGGCGGUGCAACCGCCCCAGUCAGGAGGUGCAACCGCUUGAUCCCGGAAUUCCGGGAAUUGACAGAUUUGAGCUCCAAAUUUGAACUGGGUUGGGGCCUAUAAAUACCCCACCCAUUCAGCACUGAAAGCACAGAACACACACUCGAAAUCUUGUUGUCUUUCUAUGAUUCUUAGAGCUCAAAACUGUUAGUUCUACUCUUUCUGUUCUUCAAAGUUUGAGUUGUAAAGAGAGGAGAGAAAACUUCUGUAAGGGUUGUCUCCUAAGCCCGCCAAAAGGAGUGAAUCUGUAAGAGGGUGGUUGGCCUUCGCCUAUUGAAGGAAGGCCUCUAGUUGACGUCGGUGACCUCGUCGGUAGAGGAAGCCAAAAGUGGAGUAGGUCAAGAUUGACCGAACCACUCUAAAUCUCGGUUUGCAUUUCCUUUGAGCAUUUUACCUUUACUGCAAACUUUUCAAUAG